GUAGGCUACGGUGACAUCUACCCAAAAACAUUGCUGGGGAAGAUCGUGGGCGGCCUCUGCUGCAUUGCCGGGGUUCUGGUGAUUGCCCUCCCCAUCCCAAUCAUUGUGAACAAU
rfam:Myotis lucifugus cont2.12748, whole genome shotgun sequence.